CCUACGGGUGACUGCAGUGGGGAAUAUUGCACAAUGGGGGAAACCCUGAUGCAGCGACGCCGCGUGAGUGAAGAAGUAUUUCGGUAUGUAAAGCUCUAUCAGCAGGGAAGAGAAUGACGGUACCUGACUAAGAAGCCCCGGCUAACUACGUGCCAGCAGCCGCGGUAAUACGUAGGGGGCAAGCGUUAUCCGGAUUUACUGGGUGUAAAGGGAGCGUAGACGGCGAAGAAAGUCUGAAGUGAAAGCCCGCGGCUCAACCGCGGAACUGCUUUGGAAACUUUUUUGCUGGAGUACCGGAGAGGUAAGCGGAAUUCCGAGUGUAGCGGUGAAAUGCGUAGAUAUUAGGAGGAACACCAGUGGCGAAGGCGGCUUACUGGACGGUAACUGACGUUGAGGCUCGAAAGCGUGGGGAGCAAACAGGAUUAGAUACCCCUGUAGUC
rnacentral:rRNA from 1 species